rnacentral:rRNA from 1 species
UACGGAGGAUGCAAGCGUUAUCCGGAAUGAUUGGGCGUAAAGCGUCCGCAGGUGGCAGUUCAAGUCUGCUGUCAAAGACCGGGGCUUAACUUCGGAAAGGCAGUGGAAACUGAACAGCUAGAGUAUGGUAGGGGCAGAGGGAAUUCCUGGUGUAGCGGUGAAAUGCGCAGAUAUCAGGAGGAACACCAAUGGCGAAGGCAGCACUCUGGGACGGUACUGACGCUGAGACGCGAAAGCGUGGGGAGCAAACAGG